rnacentral:rRNA from 1 species
UACGUAGGGUGCGAGCGUUGUCCGGAAUUACUGGGCGUAAAGAGCUCGUAGGUGGUUUGUCGCGUUGUCCGUGAAAACUCACAGCUCAACUGUGGGCGUGCGGGCGAUACGGGCAGACUGGAGUACUGCAGGGGAGACUGGAAUUCCUGGUGUAGCGGUGGAAUGCGCAGAUAUCAGGAGGAACACCGGUGGCGAAGGCGGGUCUCUGGGCAGUAACUGA